UGCAGCAGCCAUAUCACCCUGUAGCCCAAGACUGGUUGCCCACUGAAGCUAAGCAGGGUUGAGCCUGGUCAGUACCUGGAUGGGAGACCUCCUGGGAAAACUAGGUUGCUGCUGGAA
rnacentral:rRNA from 1 species